CCAUCGAAGCCUUCAAUUGGUUAUAUGGUGACAACAUCGUCAUGGAGAACCUGAGCUUAUUGGAGAUCAACAAUGUUUCUCAAUUGCUCUCUUCACCUCUUUUGAUUUUCAACGUAAUCUUCUGCCCCCUACCAUUAUCGAGGCCACAGAUCAUGUUGAUCACUCCAGUUGUAGGUUGAUUGCUAUUGGUCUCCUCAUUGGGUUGGUGUCGAGAUGGUUCUUCAGGUCAUGAGCUUAGUUCACGAGGUCGGCCUUUUGUAGUCAGUUUUUGGGAGGUCGGUUUUCCAUCUCGACCUUCUGAUAAUCUCGGCCUCGACUGUCCACCUCGAUCUUAUGGGGUUGACUUUCCACCUCUGCCUUCUCAUGGCC
rnacentral:lncRNA from 1 species